GACGAACGCUGGCGGCGUGCUUAACACAUGCAAGUCGAACGGUGAAGCCUUUCGGGGUGGAUCAGUGGCGAACGGGUGAGUAACACGUGGGCAAUCUGCCCUGCAUUCUGGGACAAGCCUUGGAAACGAGGUCUAAUACCGGAUACGACGCAUCUCCGCAUGGGGUGUGCGUGGAAAGCUUUGGCGAUGCAGGAUGAGCCCGCGGCCUAUCAGCUUGUUGGUGGGGUGAUGGCCUACCAAGGCGACGACGGGUAGCCGG
rnacentral:rRNA from 1 species